UAAAAUAUUUGUGCUUUUGCUACUUUUGAUGUUUCUAUUAGUGGCCAGAUUCAGGGGUUGGAUUUUCCCCUUAACGGAUCUGUCAAGCUUGCUAAUAUUGAUAAUAUAGAUGCAGAGGAGACCAGUUCUAAUAGUAGCAAUGAUAGAGCGAAAUCAUGGCAUAAUUGCAGUUGAGUUAUAUCCCUAAAUCCAUGUGAUCCAGUUCAUGAGUAUAUUACAAGAACAAAGGAGUUGGAUGUGAAAUCAAGGAAUGAAGAUAGUGUUGAAGUUGUAGAGGUAGAGAUGGAAAGAAAAUGGCAAUAAACGGAGACAAUGAUUCUAGUUUUCCUUUGGACCAACUUUAAUGGAGUUAACACAUGUUUUAUCUCAUUGUAAACAUGUACUUCAUCUUUUUAGGAUUAAUGAUACUAUUUGAGACAUUUGUACAAAUACAUAUGCAUCAAUAAUAAUAAUUUGUUGAAACA